rnacentral:rRNA from 1 species
UGGGGAAUAUUGCACAAUGGGCGAAAGCCUGAUGCAGCGACGCCGCGUGAGGGAUGACGGCCUUCGGGUUGUAAACCUCUUUCAGUAGGGAAGAAGCGAAAGUGACGGUACCUGCAGAAGAAGCGCCGGCUAACUACGUGCCAGCAGCCGCGGUAAUACGUAGGGCGCAAGCGUUAUCCGGAAUUAUUGGGCGUAAAGAGCUCGUAGGCGGUUUGUCGCGUCUGCCGUGAAAGUCCGGGGCUCGACUCCGGAUCUGCGGUGGGUACGGGCAGACUAGAGUGAUGUAGGGGAGACUGGAAUUCCUGGUGUAGCGGUGAAAUGCGCAGAUAUCAGG